UGGCGGCGGCGGCGACUGGAACGCACGGUUUCGGCCCCGGUAGCCCCUGCACAUUCCCUCGUGUUUGGGCCACAGCUCGCGGUAGUGUCCCCUUUCCCACGGGGCCCCGCCGCCCUGAGUUCAUCUUCGGGCGCUUGUCCGCGUCCUCGCCCCUCACCUGAGCCCGAACUUCGCGCGGCCGUCGCCUGACAGCCCUGGCGGGUGUGGAGACCCCUGCGUGGACCCGGGACCGCGGGCCUCGGCCGGGGCGGCGGGAGGGACGCCGGAAGUAGCGGGCAGUGCCGCAGCGCAGGUCACCAGCCGUGUGGUUUCCCUUCCACAGGAACCCUUCACACGGGGAACGCGUGUGCGUCUGUCCGCUCCUCCGGAAAUGGCCAAGAAUUUAAGAAGAAAAUCCAAGUCAUUUUUGGAGGAAGCUGACUUCAGAGGGAGAAAAUUCCAUGUUAGCAUACAUUCCUCUUCAGUCUUGAAGUGGGGGCUACCAGUGUGA
rnacentral:lncRNA from 1 species